AACGAACGCUGGCGGCAGGCUUAAUACAUGCAAGUCGAGCGCCCCGCAAGGGGAGCGGCAGACGGGUGAGUAAUGCGUGGGAAUCUACCCAUCUCUACGGAAUAACGCAGGGAAACGUGUGCUAAUCACCUAUACGUCCUUCGGGAGAAAGAUUUAUCGGAGAUGGAUGGGCCCGCGUUGGAUUAGCUAGUUGGUGGGGUAAAGGCCUACCAAGGCGAAGUUCCAUAGAUGGGCUGAGAGGAUGCUCAGCCACACUGGGACAGAGUAACGGCCCAGACUCCUACGGGAGGCAGCAGUGGGGAAUAUUGGACAAUGGGCGCAAGCCUGAUCCAGCCAUGCCGCGUGAGUGAUGAAGGCCCUAGGGUUGUAAAGCUCUUUCACCGGUGAAGAUAAUGACGGUAACCGGAGAAGAAGCCCCGGCUAACUUCGUGCCAGCCGCCGCAGUAAAAC
rnacentral:rRNA from 1 species